UGUUUUUUAUUGAUCUGAUUACGUGGGUAAAAACAUGGUAAUACAGGAAAUAUAAGGCAUGUGUUAAUGGUUUUAUUGUUAGGAUUAUGUUAAUCUGUUAUAUUCAAGAAAAGGAAAUCAUGUAAUGUUUUCAUUUCAUUAAUAGCUUAACACUCUGUCAGAUGUGUAUUUACAUAGAUUAGCAUAGUUUAUGCCUGCAAAAUAAGAAGACUCAAGUGAAGUGAUGACUCAUUAAAUGUCGUGAAUCUCUGCACCUUUUCUUUACCCCAAUUUACCAAACAGAGCUGGAAUCAAAGGAUGCCUUGUCAGCAGUGAAUUCCCCAGACACGGGCUCUUGACUGAAGUGAAUUAAAUAAGGGAGAUCGCUUUGUCAGCAGGCUGGUACAAAACAUGAAUGGAGGACUGAAGAGGGAUACAAGUUAGUAAUGAGGAAGUGUCCAAGUAGAGGAAGAAAACACCACUUCCUUCUUGCUUUCUUUCCUCCUGCAUAAGGAAUAUCCCUGCAUGGAACCUGUGGGAAAGUAUUGCAAUCUUUACUAACAGAGGCAGGAGUGGGAGUUUAUCAGACAACCUUUCCAUCCAUGUUGCUGCUUUGCUACAGCUCUGCAAAAGAAGCCUUACAGCGCCCUCUGCAGAGAUUUCCUUGCAACGCCAGGCGCCUCUGAGGAAAGCACGUUGCAAUAGGAUCUUUGAUUCUACAAUGAUGCUUUUUGAGCAUUCUCAAAAAAAAAAAAAAAAGGUUGGAUUGCAUAGGUUUUUCUUGUCUCAAAGAAACCAGUUUUACCCUACAAUGACGACAUGCACCCGGAACGCACGAAGCUUUUAACAGCAACAAGAUACCAACUUGGAAAUUCCACGAAAAUCCUUUUCCACACUACAUUCCAGUAUAGGGAACUUGUACAGUUCUCUGAAUGUGUUUUUAAUUUCUCGUCUGUUCAUUACCGUGUCUACAGAAAGAAUUGUGUAAACAUGGAUGUGAGAAUGCACGUAUAAAUGGAAAAAAAAAAAAAAAAUGAAAACAAUCUAUAAAAAAUGAGCCCAUAUCCAUUCUUUUUUCACGACUUAAGAUGCCGCUACUCAUUAAGUGUUGGGUUUUUUUUAAAGGAAGGGACUUACUACCAGCGUGCCCAAACGUGUGAACUCACACAGACGAGAGGACCAAAUGAAAGAGUGGCCACGGCUCUUUAUCAGCCAUUGCUAAGCCAUCAUUAAAGACAUCCUUUUUUAUUCAUUUGUCUCAUCUGUUUUUUGUUUUUGUUUUUUUCUUGUUCUUUUGCCUGAUUUUGAAUGGAAGAGCCUUAUUCACAUAUGUUUUCACUUGUAUACCUCAUGUUUUAAAAUGUCCAUAUCAUUUCUUUUUAAUGUAUACUAUUGUAUGUACAUAAAAAUAUCAGAGAUCUAUGAUGUAAAUUUGUCAUUUGUGUAUUCAACGAGUCACUCUUCAGUGAAUUUAUCCAUUUUUAUGUUGUUGCUAUGUUUUUUUGUAAAAGUUUAUAUUUUCACUUUGUAUUUGUUUGAAUCUUGUUGCAUCAAAGGAUUUGCUUCUUGUUUUUAAAAGCAAUAGCAUGCAGCAAAUGGUAUAUAGCACAAUGGUAUAAAUGUUUUUUUUUUGAGUUAUUGAUUGAGAGAAAUAUCAAAUGAAAAGCAGUAAUAAGAUCUGUCAGAGGGUUUGCAGCCACAGCACCACAUGUACAGACAUGCAUGAUAAUGUUCGGAUGUGUAAGAGCAUGCAGACAGGCGGACACACACUAUAUAUUUAUUCCUUACAAGCUGAUACACACGUUGCAUCCCUCACAAUCCAAGUUCCACUUCAGAGCCAAGGCUAAUUGAGUUUUCACCAAAUGGACUUGUUAACCUCCUGGUGAUUAAUGAGGUUACCAAUUCACUAAAAAGCUGGGCCCACUGCCUCCGUUUCUGCAAGACACACACAGAACAACAUAGCUACAGGAGAGGACGAAAAGCAAUUAUCAAAGUCAAAUGUUCUAUGCAAUGAUUCAUUUUGAAAUGUGGAAGUUCUUUACUCUGAAGCAGUUUAUCACCAUUGCUGUAUUCAGGACAAAACAUUAGAAUCAUGAACAAAAAAAA